rnacentral:lncRNA from 1 species
CAAGCCGUCGGGACUGCAGUGAUCUCAGUGGUUGUAUGCCAAUGGAAGUCAAUUUGGAAGCAAAUGAUGCAUUCUCACAUUCCUUCAGCCAAGUUCUUUGCCCUGCAUUAUGGUUCUGAUUUCUCCCAAAAACAAAACCCCCAAAACUUUUGACGGGGAAGUUUGAGGUCAUCUUCCUGUGCUGACAAACACAGCCAUCAGGAAUGUAGUCCUCCCCUCGACCUUCCUCAGAGCCACCCUUAUGUGAAUGUAAUAGCGCUGCUUUCUUCGAGGAAGAUGUGUACUAUAGUCCUCAGUCUCCCUGUACAGAUUUUUAUUUUGUUUUUAAACAGAAACCGCUUUAAGGAGACAAACUGCACACCUAGGUCCUUUUCCUUUGGUAGAGCUUGUUUCUAGUAGAAUGUGAUUUUUAACACAGUGAUUGCAACGACCUUCUUUGCAAACCAAAAUUCUAGACUAAGAGUUUUUCUUAAACUCGGAUAUUAGAAGCAGAAUUGUAGCUUUUAUACAAAAAAUAAAAAGCCACAUAUUCUUCUUUGUAGGACAAAACAAGAAAAUCAAGUGUAGUUACUUUUCCUCUUUCCUUUCCCUACUUACAGACUGGCCAAACUCACAAGUCCUUUCCUCAGGCAGUUCCUUUGAGAUGUGAUGCUCAGGGAGCAGGCUGGGGUCGGGAGGCUUUUCUUCUCGGCUGGCCCAGUCUCCUUGUUAACUCUGAGCAGCUCCUGCCUGGCAGCUCCCGGUCUACAGCCAUCAUUGUUUGAGGUCUGGGGGACCCCUGGGGAUCUGAGCUGCUCCCCCGGAGGCUGCAGGGUGUGGUGGCUGAGGUCGCCUGAGAGAAGGGAACUUGCGGGGCUUUAGGCCAGAAUCAUUUCCAAGGAUACGUCCUGCUCCAUGAGCCCGUGCUGAAUGUGCCGACUGCAUCCGUGAGCCAGGACAGAGCACAGGAACCACUGCUGGUACCCCUGCAGCGAAUCCUGAUAACUGUGGCCGAAGGAUGUCCUCUUCCAAAGGAUGUGCAUCUUCCAUGCUUACAAAAUGGUGGCCACAUGAACUGGGGCAGUGAGGAUGGCAAAGCCCCGGGGUGCUCAGGCAUCCCCUGCCUCCGGGGCUGGCGCAGCUUGGGCUGGG